rnacentral:rRNA from 1 species
AUUGAACGCUGGCGGCAGGCCUAACACAUGCAAGUCGAACGGUAACAGGAAGCAGCUUGCUGCUUCGCUGACGAGUGGCGGACGGGUGAGUAAUGUCUGGGAAACUGCCCGAUGGAGGGGGAUAACUACUGGAAACGGUAGCUAAUACCGCAUAACGUCGCAAGACCAAAGAGGGGGACCUUCGGGCCUCUUGCCAUCGGAUGUGCCCAGAUGGGAUUAGCUUGUUGGUGAGGUAACGGCUCACCAAGGCGACGAGCCCUAGCUGGUCUGAGAGGAUGACCAGCCACACUGGAACUGAGACACGGUCCAGACUCCUACGGGAGGCAGCAGUGGGGAAUAUUGCACAAUGGGCGCAAGCCUGAUGCAGCCAUGCCGCGUGUAUGAAGAAGGCCUUCGGGUUGUAAAGUACUUUCAGCGGGGAGGAAGGGGAUGUGGUUAAUAACCGCAUUCAUUGACGUUACCCGCAGAAGAAGCACCGGCUAACUCCGUGCCAGCAGCCGCAGUAAUAC